AACGGCCGUACCAUGCUUAAUAUACCGGUUCUCGUUAGAUCACCAAAGCCAAGCAUCAUUGGGCGCUGUCAGUACUCGGGUGG